GACGAACGCUGGCGGCGUGCUUAACACAUGCAAGUCGAACGGAAAGGCCCUGCUUUUGUGGGGUGCUCGAGUGGCGAACGGGUGAGUAACACGUGAGUAACCUGCCCUUGACUUUGGGAUAACUUCAGGAAACUGGGGCUAAUACCGGAUAGGAGCUCCUGCUGCAUGGUGGGGGUUGGAAAGUUUCGGCGGUUGGGGAUGGACUCGCGGCUUACCAGCUUGUUGGUGGGGUAGUGGCUUACCAAGGCUUUGACGGGUAGCCGGCCUGAGAGGGUGACCGGCCACAUGAGGACUGAGGUACGGCCCAGACUCCUACGGGAGGCAGCAGUGGGGAAUAUUGCACAAUGGGCGGAAGCCUGAGGCAGCAACGCCGCGUGCGGGAUGACGGCCUUCGGGUUGUAAACCGCUGUCGCCUGUGACGAAGCGUGAGUGACGGUAAUGGGUAAAGAAGCACCGGCUAACUACGUG
rnacentral:rRNA from 1 species